AUCCCCAACCUUACUAUGGGCACAAGCAACAAAAUCUUGUGUACUGACAUUGUGUUGGGGUAGAUUAAAAAGCCUCUUCCCUCCCCAGCAAGAAUCGAUUUGUAUUCUCUGGGGCCUGCAUUGUGGGUUAACAAU